CCUUCGGGAGGGCGUUUACCACGGUGUGGUUCAUGACUGGGGUGAAGUCGUAACAAGGUAGCCCUAGGGGAACCUGGGGCUGGAUCACCUCCUUA
rnacentral:rRNA from 1 species